rnacentral:rRNA from 1 species
GACGAACGCUGGCGGCGUGCCUAAUACAUGCAAGUAGAACGCUGAAGGAGGAGCUUGCUUCUCUGGAUGAGUUGCGAACGGGUGAGUAACGCGUAGGUAACCUGCCUGGUAGCGGGGGAUAACUAUUGGAAACGAUAGCUAAUACCGCAUAAGAGUAGAUGUUGCAUGACAUUUGCUUAAAAGGUGCAAUUGCAUCACUACCAGAUGGACCUGCGUUGUAUUAGCUAGUUGGUGGGGUAACGGCUCACCAAGGCGACGAUACAUAGCCGACCUGAGAGGGGGAUCGGCCCACCGGGAACUGGGACACGCCCCGGCCUCCUACGGGGGGCGGCAGAAGGGAAUCUUCGGCAAUGGACGGAGGUCUGACGAAGCAAGGCGGGGGGGGUGAGAAGGGUUUUCGGUUCGUAAGCUCUGUUGUAAGAGAAGAACGAGUGUGAGAGUGGAAAGUUCACACUGUGACGGUAUCUGACCAGAAAGGGACGGCUAACUACGUG